rnacentral:lncRNA from 1 species
GCCCAGAGACGGUCCUAUGACCUUUGGGUGCCUGAAUCAGACAGUCCAAUUGAUACCUACUUCUUCCCUUCCCCAUCAGCAUGGUGUCUUUCUCUACUACAACUCCCAUCAGCCCCUGGAAGAGAGAGAUUGAGAGAGGCCCACUGCUGGGCUUGCAUACCCUAGCUGUCCGCUCUAAGGUGGCCUCAGGUUGCCAUGGCACAAGCCAACAAAGGUAAGGCAGCAGGGAGGGGACAAUGAUGGCAACACGGUGAGGGGUAAUCUUCUCUGUAUCGUUCCAAUUUUAGUAUGUGUGCUGUCGGAGCGAGUACUUUUUUGGGGGGGUGUCCCAAUUUGCCCUCCUGAGAUGUUGGAGGGUAUCCUUUUAAAUGCCUACUGAAAGAUAUGCUGACAUGCCAAUGCAGGUCAUUAAAAAUACAUCUUUCCGCAAUAGCUAACUGAUGUCCCAUCAGGGGAAAAGGCAUGGUAUAAAUAAAUAUAUAAGAAUUAUAAUAAUUAGUGUCUAGUUUUAAUUUUUAAUGGUUUUUUUCUGUAUGGUCUUAUGUAGUAUUGUACACUGCUUUGAUAUUUUUCUAUGAAAUAGGGGUAUAUAAGGGGUUUUUUUUAUAAAUAAAUAAACUCAAUCAUUCCAUCAGGAUGUAGCAGAGAGAGAGAAUGAGAAUGGAAGCAGGAUGGCUCCAUCAGCUCUGCUGAGAGAGCAACCACUUUUGCCUCCUCCUCUUCUUGUACCGUUUCCGCUCCAGCUAGUUGUUGAAAGAUCUUUGCGACAAAGAUCUAUCAUAAUAAGUUCUUCAUUACAAAGAAUUAUUCCUUGCCCUGUGCCUAGUGGUAGGUUUGUCCCUCUAGAGACAGACCGUUAAUACAAUUCUGGUGAGAAUUAACAGAAUUAUUCCACACUCUGCCUAGUGGUAGGACUGCCCCACUAGAGAUAGUCAGUCACUGCAAUUCUGGUGGGUAUUAUUUUGAGAGGUACGGGAAACAAUCUCCCUCCAGGGAUUAAAAAUUUAUCUCAUCUAUGGGCUUUCAGCAUGCACGUCUCAGAAUUCCCAUGAUGAGAAGUGCUUAAAAGUUUACGGCCCUGUGUGCUUUUAUGUCAUCAUUCAAAGCAAGGCUGACAUAUCCGUAUAACUGUACUGUUACUACCUUGUUAAGAAACUGUCACCCAAACAAAAAUAUUCAUUUGCUGUAUUUGAAGUGCAGCUUUUCAGUGCCUGUAUUCAUUAGAGUAAGACUUUGAUGUCCCAGAUCUGAAAGAAACAGCAGAGAUGUGAUCAGGGGGUGGAAAAGCAGGGUGGGUGGGGGAGACGACACCUACAGAGCUUGUGGCCUUUAAUGAGCGAAAAGCUGGAUGUCAGGAAAGCAAAUCUCACCAUCUUUGACAAUGAGUUCAGGGGGGACUUUGUGCUAAGAAGCCUGGUAGAAGGACCAGGGAACUUAGCCCUCCACCACAGAUACAGGCAAAUUUACUGCACAGUAAAAUAGGUUGGAGCAUUCCUCAUACAUAAUUAACCUGGCCUACUUUCCUGCUUGCAAACAAUCUGCGAGUCUUUAUUCCUGAGAAUGUGUUGGAUAUGCUGUCAGGGAUUUGUUUUCAGAUUACAAGUUACUCUGCAUUCGUUCACUUUUGUGCCUUGGCGUCAACCCACAAAUGUCCACUGGCUUCAGGAGGGGAAUUUCAACCAGCUUGCAUCCACAAACACCAGCUUGCUUCAGUCUUGAGGCAUCUUCUAACUUGCAAAUGUGAACCACCAGCUUCUACCCACCAACAUUCACUAGACUAGACCGUGGAGAUCAGCCACCUUCAAGCCAUGAUCCUGCUCAGCAAAUGAAUCUGCCUUAUUAUCCCACAGCCAGAUGAUCUCUGUCCACCUGCCAUUUUGCCUCCUCCAAGUAGAAGACUGGCCUAUGCUGACUGUCCCAGCUAUUGGCCACUGUAUU